AUUACUAUCUUACUUAGCUUAAUUCAAAAUCUUGGUCUAUUGUGUGAUCCGAGAGUUUUGUGGAAUUCGACCCUAAAGUACUACAAUCGAUCUGUUAUUUGAGAGAGUGGUCUUAAGGCAAUUUGACCUAUAUCAAAUUUGGCGCCGUUGCCGAAGUUCUCUACGAUUCACCAUUAGAUUAGGAUUAGAAUUUUGUCUAAGC
rnacentral:sRNA from 1 species